GAGCAAUCUGUGUGACUGCGUACCUUUUGUAUAAUGGGUCAGCGACUUAUAUUCUGUAGCAAGGUUAACCGAAUAGGGGAGCCGAAGGGAAACCGAGUCUUAACUGGGCGUUAAGUUGCAGGGUAUAGACCCGAAACCCGGUGAUCUAGCCAUGGGCAGGUUGAAGGUUGGGUAACACUAACUGGAGGACCGAACCGACUAAUGUUGAAAAAUUAGCGGAUGACUUGUGGCUGGGGGUGAAAGGCCAAUCAAACCGGGAGAUAGCUGGUUCUCCCCGAAAGCUAUUUAGGUAGCGCCUCGUGAAUUCAUCUCCGGGGGUAGAGCACUGUUUCGGCAAGGGGGUCAUCCCGACUUACCAACCCGAUGCAAACUGCGAAUACCGGAGAAUGUUAUCACGGGAGACACACGGCGGGUGCUAACGUCCGUCGUGAAGAGGGAAACAACCCAGACCGCCAGCUAAGGUCCCAAAGUCAUGGUUAAGUGGGAAACGAUGUGGGAAGGCCCAGACAGCCAGGAUGUUGGCUUAGAAGCAGCCAUCAUUUAAAGAAAGCGUAAUAGCUCACUGGUCGAGUCGGCCUGCGCGGAAGAUGUAACGGGGCUAAACCAUGCACCGAAGCUGCGGCAGCGACACUAUGUGUUGUUGGGUAGGGGAGCGUUCUGUAAGCCUGUGAAGGUGUACUGUGAGGUAUGCUGGAGGUAUCAGAAGUGCGAAUGCUGACAUAAGUAACGAUAAAGCGGGUGAAAAGCCCGCUCGCCGGAAGACCAAGGGUUCCUGUCCAACGUUAAUCGGGGCAGGGUGAGUCGACCCCUAAGGCGAGGCCGAAAGGCGUAGUCGAUGGGAAACAGGUUAAUAUUCCUGUACUUGGUGUUACUGCGAAGGGGGGACGGAGAAGGCUAUGUUGGCCGGGCGACGGUUGUCCCGGUUUAAGCGUGUAGGCUGGUUUUCCAGGCAAAUCCGGAAAAUC
rnacentral:rRNA from 1 species